rnacentral:rRNA from 1 species
CGGAGGGGCGUAGCGUUGUUCGGAAUUAACUGGGCGUAAAGACGCGCGUAGGCGGCUUUGUUAAGUUGGAGGUGAAAGCCCGGAGCUCAACUCCGGAAUUGCCUUUAAGACUGCAUCGCUAGAAUCAUGGAGAGGUUAGUGGAAUUCCGAGUGUAGAGGUGAAAUUCGUAGAUAUUCGGAAGAACACCAGUGGCGAAGGCGACUAACUGGACAUGUAUUGACGCUGAGGUGCGAAAAGCGUGGGGAGCAAACAGGAUU